rnacentral:lncRNA from 1 species
UCAGUCCAGUUCUUAUUGAAGAGAUACUUCUUUCUCUCAGGAAAUGAUGUGGUCAUGUAAUCGAUUACCAUGCCACAUGUAUCAGCUUAAGUGCUUGUAAAUAAGUCAAAUUAUUUAAAGUAUAAUAAUCUGCAGUAAAGGACUUCAGUUUGUUUUUUUCCAAAUUCAUCAUGAAAAGUUGCUGAUCACACAUUUUCAGCAAUAUGCGUACUUUAAGAUUAUAUAAAAUUACUUUUCAUGGACUAUAUUUAAUCUUCUGGAGAUAAACUGAAAAGAUGACUGUUUCAGUUGGCAGGACUGGUUGAUCAUUCAUCUCUCCUCAACAUUUGGAAAAAGAAAAGAAAGAAGACAAGACUCCUAAAGGGGAUCUUCCUGACCCAGGGAUCAACCUGCAUGUCCUGCAUUGGCAGGAGGAUUUUUUUUCACUGAGCUACCUGGAAAGCCCUUUGUGCACACUAGUUUUUAUUAAAUACCAGAUUUCCGUUUCCUCAUUCCAUUUUCCCAUAUGGGAAAAGAAAACACAUUCUUCAAAAUGAAUGAUAAGCUUUAGAGUGUGGUCAUUGGUUGUCACACUUCCUGCCUGGAUUCACAUCCUGACUCCUGUGUACAUGUGUGAUCUUAGGUAAGGGCCUUAAACCACACUGUGCUUUGUUUUUCUCAUUUGUGAAAUAACACUUAGUACCUUCCAAACAGAGUUUGCUAUGAGGAUAAAAUAAAAUAAUGGCUGCUAAGGGCUUACUCAUUACAAUGCCAUUGUAAAUUUUCAAUGAUGCUGUUUUUUAUUAUUAUUGUUAGUAUGUUACUGCAGACAGUUCAAUAAAAUAUUAAAUCAGUAUAUGAAAGAGGGUAAUAUUUUUCACCUAAGUUGGUUUUUUAUGUUUUCUGGUUUAAUGAAUGGUUUUCCAACAUUUUUUCAUUAUUGGCACACCUAUGAAUUUAGUAAAUAGUGUGAAAGAAUAAAGUAAAAUGGAUGUAAAAACAAUCUAAAAGGUAAAUGAUUUCUUCUUCAAUCAUCUCAAAACUAAGAUCAUUGUAUUUAAAUAUAUAAAGUUAGGUAUUUUAUUACCUGGGUGAUUUUCCUACUAUUUG